CGAGGUCCAAUUCUGUAACAGAUGCU
rnacentral:piRNA from 1 species